GGAGGCAGCCUGGGACCGGCCCACGGAGUUGCAGCCGCCCAUCGCUCCCUCCUUGCGGACAUCAUGCUCCAGUUCCUGAUACCAAACCUGGCUAAAAAACUUGAAGACAUUAAAAAGGACCUGGAUGCCAAGAAGAAACCCCCUAGUUCAUGAGGCCGACUCCAGCCCUGCCUUCUGGAUUCUACUAUUGUCGAGGGCCUUCUUUACUCUGAACCAAAAGCUUUUGUUUUAAUUUCCAGCCUCAGCAGUUUUCUUCAUUGUGUUGCCUUAGAGCACAAAUGGGGCCACAAGUUAAGAACUACCCUUAAUUUUCCAACAGCAUCACUUCUUCCCUUCCUCCUUCCAGCCACUUGGGAGGCCCUGAAACUGGAAUUAUGGUGCUAGAUUAGUAAACAUGACCUUUAAUUAGUAGUCUCUCCCUUUUUCUUUGGAAUUUCUAUUACCUUUUUUCAAAAGAAAAAUUGAUAAAUUUUGUAUAGCAGAUGAGAUAUAAAUAAUGCUGAUUUCACAUUCUAGCAAUUAUAUAAUGGGUAUUUAAACAUUCGGUACUUAAUUAUGUUAUUUCAAAAUAGUAGUUAAAAUCAAGAAGCCAGUUCCUGGUGAAUUAUCCAUUGUUGUCAGGAAGCUGCAUAGUUGCUAUUGUAACCACUAUAUCAAUUUGCUAUUCAUUAACCAAGAAACAGUGUUCUGAGAACCCUGAGAACUUACAAAUAUUUAAAAUAAUGGCCGUUGUCCUCAAUAGUAUUCCUAGUCUAAUAUUCAUGUUGUUUUUUAAUGAUGUGUUUGAUCUGGUUCUUUUCCCUCGUAAGAAUCAUACUUUAUGGGAUAACAGGUGCAUGUGACAUUACCUGGUGGAUAAAUGAGAAGUUGAUUAUAAGGGAAGUUUUAUGCCUUUUUAUAUUUAAAAAAUAUGUUUACAUUAUAACUUUAUAGUGAGCCCCUGAGUGAGUGGGUUAAGGAUCUGGCAUUGCUCAGUCUCAUAGGAAGCCUUUUUGUGUUUUUUUCCUGCAAUCAGAAAUUGCUCUCUUAGUUUGUCAAAUGUAUAAUCAGUCCACAUUUUUUUAAGUGAAAAAAAUUUAAAUAGGUAACUUCCCCUUGGGUCAGUACAAAAGUGAUUUAGAAUUAAGGACUUCUCCCACCCAUGUCCUGCAGCUCCUAAUUCCUCUUCCUGGAGUCAGGCACUGUUGCCAGUUUUUUUGAAAAAGAUUCUGUCCCUAAACAAACAUGUUCAUGAGGGUUAUUAUACAAAUGAUAACAAGCUAUAUACAGAAUUUUCCUCAGUGGAGAUCAUUCCAUAUCCGUAUGUAAGGAACAAAAAACCUCUUCCCCUUUUGUGACUGCAUAAGGUUCUGUUGAAUGAAUAUGCUGCAGUUGAUUUAGUCAGCUCCUGGUGAACAUUUAGGUUGUUUCCUGUCUUUUGUUAUUAUGGUGAUAACCUUAAACCUAAUAUUGUUAUGCAUAUCUAUGCCAGGGAUAGCGCCAAGCUAAAGCCCUAGAAGUGUAGUUUACCCUGUAGUUUCUAGGGCUUUACCAAGCUAAAGCCCUCGAAGUAUAGUUUGUUGGGUAUCAGCUUCACUGAUAAUGCCAUUCCUGGAAACAUUUUAGCAGAAUUAGUAAACUGGAAGGAUGAUUUUAGAGACACCUUUUUUUCAGACACUGAUGGCACUGACAGUAAAUGUGAUUAUACAGUGAGGUGAUUCUACUUUUCUUUGAAAACGUGGAUCUUUCAAACAUGGAGAUACAUUUUGUCCCUGUCAGGUUGUCCUGGUUCGUGAGACAAAUUAGGACCUUAUUAUAGUUUGUCUUCUCCUCAGACAGAGUGUGAUCAGGGGCAAGUGGCUUAUUUCUCCAAAACUGUUGUUUUCUCUUUAAGAUGUGGAUGCAGUACCUACCUCAUAGGGCUUCCAUGAGAAACUGUUGAGAUAACAUACGUGGUGUGUAGCACAGUGCUUUGCAGAUUGUCCAAUAAAUAGUAGAUAUUAGUUGGAACGUGCUGCCUUUGGUCAGAAUACUUUUUUCUGCACUCACUUCUGGAACCAGUUUAUGAACCAUGCAAAAUGUGUCAUUCUCUUUGUAAAAUGAAAAUCUGUAGUAUCCACUGUGAUCAUACCACCUGGCUUACCAGGUUUGAUCUUAAAUGACUGAAUUGUUAGCAGAAUGAACUACAGCCUUGAAGGAUAAUGGUUUACCAUCUUGAUAGGUAUUCAAACUUUCACAAGCUUAGAAAGCUGUUUUCAAAGAGGGAUUCAUUGUUAUCAGCCAUGGAGCCUUGAUGCUUGUGUGUAUGGUCUCCCAGGUGGCUUCUUUGGGGAUGUGAGUCACUUAGAUGUUGCAUGAUGAGGUCUCUAUAAUUGUACUUGUAAAUGAGGCACGAUUGGACUUGGAGCUUCCCCUGGGAGUGACACUUAACCUUGCUGACGGGAUCAUCUCCACCAGUGGGAGCCACCCAGCUAAUCACCUUAAACGUGUGAACAGCAACACAAAGAGUGCAGGCCAACUUCAUGGUCACCAUUCAGAUUCCCUCUCCCAUUUCAGGCUCUUGUAGGAGUGAAAGGGAUCUGGAGUUCUCAGGCAGGAUUAUCUUCACGGAGACAUAUUGUUGGGGGACCUAGAACCAUUAUGGGUUUUAGGCGGUGUGGUGGUUGUGAUCGUGGUACUCAAAGUUAACAUUCUCUGGGUGUUUUGUAGAGGUCCCUGCAGAGGGGUGGGAAGAACUACUGCAAGACAUGCCUUUUUUUUUUUCCUUUAAAAAAAUCUUGAGGAGUUCCUGUUGUGGCACAGUGGAAAUGAAUGCGACUAGUAUCCAUGAGGAUGUGGGUUUGAUCCUUGGCCUCCCUCAGUGGGUUAAGGAUCUGACAUUGCUGUGGGCUGUGGUGUGGGUUGCAGAUGUGGCUCGGACCCACUGUUGCUAUGGCUGUGGCAUAGGCCAGCAGCUGCAGCUCCUAGUGGACCCCCAGCCUGGGAACUUCCAUAUGCUG
rnacentral:lncRNA from 1 species